UGGGGAAUAUUGCACAAUGGGCGCAAGCCUGAUGCAGCCAUGCCGCGUGUAUGAAGAAGGCCUUCGGGUUGUAAAGUACUUUCAGUCGGGAGGAAGGUGGUAAGGUUAAUAACCUUGGCAAUUGACGUUACCGACAGAAGAAGCACCGGCUAACUCCGUGCCAGCAGCCGCGGUAAUACGGAGGGUGCAAGCGUUAAUCGGAAUUACUGGGCGUAAAGCGCACGCAGGCGGUUUGUUAAGUCAGAUGUGAAAUCCCCGGGCUCAACCUGGGAACUGCAUCUGAUACUGGCAAGCUUGAGUCUCGUAGAGGGGGGUAGAAUUCCAGGUGUAGCGGUGAAAUGCGUAGAGAUCUGGGGGAAUACCGGUGGCGAAGGCGGCCCCCUGGACGAAGACUGACGCUCAGGUGCGAAAGCGUGGGGAGCAAACAGG
rnacentral:rRNA from 1 species